rnacentral:rRNA from 1 species
GGAUUAAUUUAUUGGUCGUGCUAUUGUACGUACUGGUAUUAUUGAUUCCUACCUUCUGACGAACCAUGAUGUCAUUAAUUUGGUGUCAUGGGGAAUCAGGACUGUUACUUUGAAAAAAUUAGAGUGUUUAAAGCAGGCUCACGCUUGAAUACAUUAGCAUGGGAUAAUAGAACAGGAUUC